rnacentral:rRNA from 1 species
GGCUAACGCUGGCGGCGUGUCUUAGCCAUGCAAGUCGAGCGGACUUAUGGGGUAACUUAUAAGUCAGCGGCGGACGGCGGAGUAACACGUAGCUAACCUACCCUCUGGACGGGGAUAACCUACCGAAAGGUGGGCUAAUACCCGAUGUAGUCAUCCUGUAUAGGGGUGAUGAAAGGUGGGCUUCUGUUUACAAGCUCAUGCUGGGAGGAGGGGGCUGCGGCCUAUCAGGUAGUUGGUAGGGUAAUAGCCUACCAAGCCGAUGACGGGUAGCCGGCCUGAGAGGGUGACCGGCCCGAGGGGCACUGAGAUACGGGUCCCACUCCUACGGGAGGCAGCAGGCUAGAAAUUUGGGCAAUGGGGGAAACCCUGACCCAGUGACGCCGCGUGCAGGAAGGAGCCCUUCGGGGUGUAAACUGCUGUCGUGUAGGGAGAAGGGUACUAAAGGUGAACAAUCUUAGUACUUGACGGUACUACAGGAGGAAGCCCAGGCUAACCUCGUG